CCUACGGGCGGCAGCAGUGAGGAAUAUUGGUCAAUGGGCGUAAGCCUGAACCAGCCAAGUCGCGUGAGGGAUGAAGGUUCUAUGGAUCGUAAACCUCUUUUGUCAGGGAACAAAGGCGGGGACUAGUCCCCGGAUGAGGGUACCUGAAGAAAAAGCAUCGGCUAACUCCGUGCCAGCAGCCGCGGUAAUACGGAGGAUGCGAGCGUUAUCCGGAUUUAUGGGGUUUAAAGGGUGCGCAGGCGGCCUGUUAAGUCAGCGGUAAAAGCCCGGGGCUCAACCCCGGCGAGCCGUUGAAACUGGCGGGCUGGAGUUGGAGAGAGGUACGCGGAAUGCGCGGUGUAGCGGUGAAAUGCUUAGAUAUCGCGCAGAACCCCGAUUGCGAAGGCAGCGUACCGGCUCCACACUGACGCUGAGGCACGAAAGCGUGGGUAUCGAACAGGAUUAGAUACCCUUGUAGUC
rnacentral:rRNA from 1 species